UACGUAGGGUGCAAGCGUUAAUCGGAAUUACUGGGCGUAAAGCGUGCGCAGGCGGCUUUGCAAGACAGAUGUGAAAUCCCCGGGCUCAACCUGGGAACUGCAUUUGUGACUGCAAGGCUAGAGUACGGCAGAGGGGGAUGGAAUUCCGCGUGUAGCAGUGAAAUGCGUAGAUAUGCGGAGGAACACCAAUGGCGAAGGCAAUCCCCUGGGCCUGUAUUGACGCUCAUGCACGAAAGCGUGGGGAGCAAACAGG
rnacentral:rRNA from 1 species